GCCGAAGUGGCGGAAUGGUAGACGCGCCGGUCUCAAAAACCGGUGAGGGCAACCUCGUGUCGGUUCGACUCCGACCUUCGGCACCA
rnacentral:tRNA from 1 species